rnacentral:rRNA from 1 species
CCCAGUGACUCUUUUAAACGGCCGCGGUAUCCUAACCGUGCAAAGGUAGCAUAAUCACUUGUCUCUUAAAUAGGGACUAGAAUGAAUGGCUAAAUGAGGACUAAUCUGUCUCUUACGGACCAACCAAUGAAAUUAAUCUUUCAGUACAAAAGCUGAAAUAAAAACAUAAGACGAGAAGACCCUGUGGAGCUUCAAACCAAAAACACCCUGCAUGCUCCUCAGGUUUUUAGUUGGGGCGACUUCGGAGCACAAUAAAACCUCCAAAAUCUUUAUCUUUAAGAUUAACAAACCAAAAACUUUAUUAGACCCAGCAAUGUAUAACAUUGUCUGACCACUGAACCAAGUUACCCCAGGGAUAACAGCGCCAUCCCCUCCUAGAGUCCAUAUCAACAAGGGGGUUUACGACCUCGAUGUUGGAUCAGGACACCCCAAUGGUGCAGCCGCCAUUAAAGGUUCGUUUGUUCAACGAUUAAUUAGUCC